AAGUUCCUCUGUUAGAGCCUGUCCCUUCCGGUGGCGGGAGCGCUGAGGCUGCCGGCGAGUAUUGGGUGUGUGCUGAAUUGCUGCCGCUCCUCCGUAAGCAGAGCCGAGUCUGCUCUAUGGGCGGUUUCUUCUGCUCAGCGUGGUUGCGGACAUUGCUGGGAGGAGUGAGAGCGAAGAGGAAGUAGGCGUUAGUCUUCGGUACCUUUCUAACCAUAGCUCGGGCCGUGCAGUGAAAAUGGGCACGCUUAGUCGUGCUGGGCAUGCGCAUUCUUGCUGUACGGAAUUCCCGAGGCGGCUGCAUCAUCAUGGCGUUGAAAGUUUGGUGGGAAGUUUCUCCUGUUCUUUUUCUUUGUAAGUAAGGUAAGGGGCUGGGUGCUUGAGUGAGCGAAAGCCUGCUAGCCCUGGAACGCCUUCUAAGGACGUCCUUUCCCAGCCUCCCGCACAGCCUCUCCCCUCGAAGCCAUGUGCUUUGGGUACGUGUUGUGUACCAGACACUGCUUUCGAGCCCGGGCACCCAAGACGGUUAGAGGACACGAGUGCCCAGUUCUCAAGGCAUAUUCAUCCCCUUGGGUGGAGACAGACAAUAAACGCACUAACAGUGAUCAGCUUAGGGCUAAGGGAUAGUAAGAGAAUAAAAGGAGUGAUGCGACAAAGACAGGCGGUGGACGGAUUCCCAGUUAGACGAGGUAGUCAGGGUCGUCUCCUUCCAGCAAUGAUGUUUAAAGGCAUUAGGGAUGCUGCUGCGUGGCUUUCAUGGCCCUGAAAUGCUGGUUCUGCGUUGUUCGUGGCUGGUUAACAGAGCUGAGCACACAGUGUAGACAGGUUUGCUGCGUUUGCUCCCAGACUCAAAACUAGCGCCAGAAUGGAAAACUCUUAAUAGAAGGGCCAUGUGGGGUGAGGAAGUGCCCACACCAGAGUGUGUACCGCUAGAGCUGCUCCAUCAGGGCCCUGAGCGCUUAGGCCAAAGGCAUCUCUCCACGGAACCUAAGGAGUGCAGAGGGUGGGGAAGCCUAGUUGCCUUCCUCUGUGUGCCCUGCCUUCCCUUCUGGCCUCCUUUCCUUAUGGAUCCUGGGAUCUUCUUCUAGGUUAGGGCACCACAGAGCUUGUCUGCUAUAGUGGAGAGUAUGUCAGUGACAGGCCUCCCUUCUGUCAUUACAAAGCUGGUGGAAUACAUGUUUUUAAUAUUUAUUUUUGAAAGGCAGAGUUACAGAGAGAGAAAGAGAGAGAGAUCUUCCAUCCCCUGGUUCACUCCCCAAGUGGCUGCAAUGACCUGGGCAAAACCAGAAGACCAGAGCUUCUUCCAGGUCUCCCAUUUGGGUAUUGGGGCCCAGAAACUUGGGCCAUCUUCUGCUGCUUUCCCAUUCACAUUGGCAGGGAGCUGGACAGAAGUGGAGCAGCCAGGACUAAAACUUGCAGUUACAUGGGAUGCUAGUGCUACAGGUGGCGCCUUACCCCACUGUGCUAAGCUGAACCCAGGUGGUGUAUCUUAAUUUUGGUGACAGUUUGGUAUGGGCCCCAUGGUGCUAUAUGUCCUACAUAGUUGUGGCAACUUCAUGGAAUUGGCACAAGUGAUCACGACUGUGAUGUUAUAAGGAAUCCUGUGGCUUGUAGUGAAGGCGGAACUGAUGACAACAACGUCAUGUGUAAGUAACAUCACUGAGUAUGUGAACACAUGUUCUCUGGUGGGCCCCAGUGGGAUCCUUUAGUCAUCCCAGCUCGGGGGCUGAGAAAGGAGUUGAAAAGUUGUAGAGCUGUCACUCGCUAUGGUUCUUUUGUAGAUGUGGGGUGUUCACAGUGAAGGGACAUCCAGCAAACAGGCCUCCAGAGAGAACGAACACAAUGAGAUCCGGCAUUUGAUGGAUAAGCUGCCUUUUAGGAUCCUGGACCAAAUGUCCUAGAAAACUAGAUCUGAUGCAAAAGAAGUGGAAGCAGACAAAGCAAGGGUGAAGUAUUUGAGUAGUUGGAGAGGGAGAGUGCAGGAGAUGGUUGGGACUGGCUGGUGGGUUGGUGGGCUUUUUCCCUAAGAGUGGGCUUUGGAAAGUUCAUGGAAGCAUCAGAUUAAAAGGUACGUUGAUUUUGGUGUAAAAAGUUCCAAGUCUAUGCACGAAUUUUUCAUUACACGUAUUUUCUGUGCAGGUUGUGAAGGCCUUUGAUCGUCCCUCAUUUAACCUUUGUAAUGACACGGGAACACCAGACAGGGUGCUAGAGGAGGCAGAUUACUUCUUCAAGCUGCUUUGCAUCUGCAACUUGGAAUUUUCUGGGACAGUGGAAAGGCAGUGAAGGAAAACGUCUCAUCUCCUGCAUUAUGUUUUCCUUCCUUUGUUUGAUGCAUUAUGUGAGAAGCCUUAUUUAUCAACCAGCAGUGUCAGUUCAGUUACCUUGGCACUCCCCAUCAUCAGACAACUAUUUGUGAGAUUAAGCUGCUUGGCACCUGAUUCAUAGAUGUGCAUUCUUGAAGACCCUUCAGACAACGAGAAGGCAGCUGUCUGAAAACUGGAAGGAGGGUCCUCAGCAGAACCUGACUGCUGGCAUCCUGAUGGUAGACUUCCAGCCUCCAGAACUACUCAGGAUGACCUGGUCUGAUGUUAGUGUUUUAUGAGAUGUUCAUAUCCAACAGGAGGAUAACAAGGCCUUGCAGUAAAAUUUACAUACAAGAAAUUCAUAGAUCUGAACUACGGUAUUUGUUGAGUUUUGGUCAUUGCAUCCACAUGUGUAACACAAAUUUCUACCACUAUGGAGAAAUUUAUCAUUUUUUCAGAACCUUUCCUCACUUCUCUUUCCAGUCACUUUCCUUUCUGCUCCCUCACAGCCAAAUACUGGCCUGCUUCCUAUUUGUGGAGACAACUUGGGCUAUUUCUAGAAUGUCAUAUAAAGGGUAUCAUGCAGUAUUCUUCCUUUGCAUUUGUCAUUUUUCCUUCAGCAAAAUGUCUUUGAGAUUCAUACCUUGUAUGCAUGAAUAUAUUUUCCCUUUAUUGAUAAGUAGUAGUACACUGUAUGGAAAACUGGAGUUGGUUUAUGUAUCUGCUCAUUGAAUUCUAAAACAAUAAAAGAAGCUGGUGUGUGUACAAAGAGAAACAUAUAUCAUAACACACUACACCCUAAUACUGAUAGCAGUUAUUUGUAAAUGAUGGCAUUUGUGUAUCAUUGGAUUAAACUGAUUUGCAAAAGCACCUACUCCUCUAGACUGAGGAACUUAUUGUUUGUAAUAGUUCCAUCCCUUAGUGGUGUUUUUUUGUUAAUUUAUGCCAAAUGAUGUCAUUGAAUUAGAGGGGAAAUAAACAAGAGUUAGCAACUUGUUAACAAAAUAUUGGAAUGUCAUUCCUUAGAACAGUUUAUGCCAAAAUAUGUGUCAUAAAGUCCUAUGCAUACUACUCAGGGUCAUAGUGCAGGUGUUUUAGGUAGGGCUAUCCAAAAUAUAUUUUAAAAGAAAGGCCAAAUUCAAUCACAAAAUUUUAAAAACUGUAGUACUCAACACAGUGAUAGAGAGUGUUAUUGGCAUAAGAAAGGGCUUACAUAUCAAGAGAACAGAAUUCAGUCUAAAAAUAAACCCAUUCAUUUAUGGUCAAUUGAGUUUUAAAAUAACCAUAGUAAAACAAAUUUAACAAAAUUUAUCAUCUUUACCAUUUUGGUGACACUAAAUAUAUUCAUGUUGUGCAACCAUCACUAUCACCUAUUUACACAAUUAUUUCAUCUUGCAAAACUGAAGCCUCAUAUCCACUAAGUAAUAACUCCCCAUUAUUAUUAUGCUCUCUCCCCUUAGCUCUCAGCAACUAUUUAUUUUCUGUCUCUAUAAAUUUAACAACUCUAGGUACAUCAUAUAAACAAAAUAAUACAUUAUUUGUCUUUCUCUGACUGGCUUAUCUCACUUGGCAUAAUGUCUUCAAAUUCAUCCAUGUUGUAACAUGUAUUAGAAUCCCCCCCCUUUUUUAAACUGAAUAAUAUUCUUGUGUAUGUAAAUACUACUUUUUGUCCAUCCAUUUAUCCAUUGAUAGAUGAGUGUAUCUUAGAGCUAUUGUAAGUAAUACUGCUAUGAACAUGGGUGUACAAAUAUCUAUUUUAGUCCUUUCAAUUAUUUUGGUUAUAAAUCUAGAUGUCCUUUUUUUUUUUAUAGUGGCUGCACAUUUUUAUAUUCCCACCAAUAAUGCAGAGUUCCAAUUUCUCCACAUUCUUUCCAACACUUGUACUUAAAGUUAUUUCUAAUAGUAGCUCUCUUCAUAAGUUUGAAGUGACAUCUAAUUGUUAUUUUGAUUUGCAUUUCUCUGGGGAAUUAGUGAAGUUGAGCAUCUUUUCAUAUGUAUAUUAGCCAUUUCUAUGUCUUGCUUGGAGAAAUGUCUGUGUAGUCAUUUUGCCUUUUUAAAAAAAAAAUCAGGUUGUUGAGUUGUAGUUCUUUAUAUUAAUUCAGGAUAUCAAUCCUUUAUCAGAUGUAUGAUAUGCAACUACUUUCUCAUAUACUCAUAUUUAUUUGAGACACCCAUAAGUAAUACAUGUUUAUGUAGGCUACAUUUUUACUCUAUUCUUUGUGUUUUGGGGGGCGUAGGUGUUAAUUUUGGUAAAGUAGUCCAAUUUAUUUGUUUUCUUUGUUUGAGGUGUCAUAUCCAAGAAAUUAUUGCCAAACCAGGUGUCAUAAAGUUUUCCUUGUAGGUUUUCUUCUAAGAAUUUGAUAGUUCUUGAUGUUACAUUUAGGUUCUUUGGGUUACCGUUUUUAUGUAGUUUAAGAGUCCAACUUCAUUCAUUUACAUGUAUGCAUCUGGUUUUCCCAAAACCAUUUGCUGAAAAGACUGUUCUUUCACCAAUCAAUAGUCUUUGUGCCCUUGUGAAAAAUCACUUGACCAUAUACAUGAAGAUUGAAUUCUUGGCUCUCUAUUCUAUUCCAUUGGUCUAUAUUGUCUGUCUUUAUUUCAAAGGGAGAAGAGUGAGUGAUCUCCCAUCCAUUGUGUUACUGCCAAAUGCUCACAACAGCUGGAGCUGGGUGAGGCCAAAUGUGGGAGCCAGGAAUUAAAUCAGAGUGGCACGAUGCAACUCACCUGCUGCCUCCCAGGGUACACAUUAGCAGAAAGUUGGAAUCUGGAAUAGAGAUGGGACUUGAACCCAGGCAACUCUGAUAUGGGAUGCAAGCAUCACAAGCAGCAUAUUUUUUUUAAGAUUUAUGUAUUUAUUUGAAAGUCAGAGUUACACAGAGAGAGGAGAGGCAGAGAGAGAGAGAGAGGUCUUCCACCUGAUGGUUCACUCCCCAAUUGGCCGCAACGGCUAGAGCUGGGCCAAUCCGAAGCCAGGAGCCAGGAGCUUCUUCCAGGUCUCCCACGUGGGUGCAGGAGCCCAAGGACUUGGGCCAUCUUCUACUGCUAUCAUCCCAAGAAGCAUAUUAACCACUGUGUCAAGUGCCUACCUCAGAUUUUUCUAUUAAAAAAAAAUGUUGGGGCCGUAACGGGUAGAGCUGCCGCCUGCACUGCUGGCUUCCCUUAUGGACACUGGUGUGAGUCUCGGCUGUUCCACUUCCCAUCCAGCUCUCUGCUAUGGCCUGGGAAAGCAGUAAAAGAUGGCCCAAGUCCUUGGGCCCCUGCACCCACGUGGGAGACCCGGAAGAAGCUCUUGGUUCCUGGCUCCUGGCUUCGGAUUGGCGCAGCUCAGCCUUUGUGGCCAACUGAGGAGUGAACCAGCAGAUGGAAGACCUCUCUCUCUGCUUCUCCUUCUCUCUGUGUGUAACUCUGACUUUCAAAUAAAUAAAUAAAUCUUUAAAAAAAUGUUGCUUGUAUUUAGAUAUGGAUUACCUUAAAUCUGUAGAACACUGUAGGUAUUACUGAUAUCUUAACUAUAUUAACAAUCUACAAACACCAGAAUUAUUACUGUUUAUUAAUUCCUUUAAGCACUGCUUUGUAGUUUUAAAUGCACAAGUCUUUUACCUCUGUCUUAGUCUGUUAGAGCAGCUAUGACAAAAUACCGUAAAUUAGGUGGGUUAUAAACAACAGAUUUUUCACAGCUCUGAAGACUGGGAAGUCCAGGAUCAAGGUGUCAGCAUAUUAUGUGUUUGGUGAGGGCCCAUUUUCAUGUCUGAUGCCUUCUUCCUGUGUCCUCAUAUAGUAGAAGAGACAGUGCAGUUCUCUGGAACUUCUUUCACAAGGGCACUAAUGCCAUCCACAAGGGCUCCACCCUCAUGACUUAACAUCUUGCAAGUACCAACCUCAUUGAGUGAUUAGGUUUCAAAUAUGAGUUUGGGGGAGACACUAACAUUCAGACCAUUGCAGCUUCCUUGGUUAGGUUUAUUAUUAAAUAUUUUAUUUUUUUAAUUUAUAUUAUAAAUGGAACUGUUUGCUUAAUUUCACUUUCAGAUUUUUCAGUGUUAAUGUAUUGAAAUAGAAUUGACUUUUGCAUGUUUAUUUUGUACCUUGAAACUGAUCAAUUUCUUUAUUAAAAUUAAUUCUAAGGUUUUUCUAUAAAAUAUAGUAUUUUCUCCAUACAAGAUCAAGUCUCUGCAAACAGAUAAUUUCACUUCUUCCCUUCAAAUUUUGAUGCCUUUCACUUCCCUUUUCUUUCCUAAUUGCUCUGACUAGUGCUUCCAAUAAUAUGUUGAAUACAAGUGGUGAAAACGGGCAUCCUUUUCUGUUCCUGUUCUCUCAGGAAAAAUCUUUUUUUUUUUUUAAGAUUUUUUAAAAAUUUAUUUAAAAGGCAGAGUUACAGAGAAAGGGAGUGAUAAAGAGGUCUUCCAUCUGCUGGUUCACUCCCCAGAUGGCUGCAAUGACCAGGGCUCUGCCAAGCUAAAGCCAGGAACCAGGAGUUUCAUCUCCACGUGGGUGGCAGGAGCCCAAGUACUUGGGCCAUCUUCCACUGCUUUUCCCAGGCCAUUAGCUGGGAGCUGGAUAGGAAGAGGAGUAGCCGGGACACGAACCAGCGCCCAUGUGGGAUGCAGAUGACAUAGGUGCUGGCCCCAGGAAUCAAUCUUUCAUCAUAGAGGAAGAUGAAACUUGUGAGAUUUUCAUAUAUGAUCUUUAUUAUGUUGAAGUAGAGUCCUUAUAUUUCUAGUUUGUUGAGUGUGUUUUUUUUCCUUUCAUCAUGAAAGGUUAUUGAAUUUUGUCAAAUGCUUUUUCUGCAUUAUUUGAGAUUAUUUUGUGGUUUUUAAUGUGGUAUAUUACAUUGAUCAGUUUUCUUCUGUAGAAACAUCCUAGCAUUCCAGGAAUAAAUCUCACUUGAUUAUGGUUUAUAGUCCUUUUAAUGCUCUUACAUUUUGUUUGCCGGUACUUUGUUCAGGACCUUUGCAUCCACAUGCGUCAUUGAUAGUAGUAUAAUUUUUCUUUCCUGUAAUAUUUUUGUCUGGUUUUGGGAUCACAGUAAUAGUGUCCUCAUAGAGUGAGUUUAAGAGAGUUAUAUCUAACUUUUUACAAAACAUACAGAUUGAAAAGGGAGAAAUAGAACUAUUUUUAUUUGUAGAUGAUGUGUUCCUAUAUGUAGAACAUUCUCGAAAACUGAAUAAAAAUCUACUAGAACAAAAAAGAAGUACAUCAAGUAUCAGGAUACAAGAUCAAUAUGCAAAAUCAAUAUGCAAAAAUAUUUAUACACUAUCAAUAAACAACCUAAAAUUAAUUAUAAAGAUUACCCUCUUUAUAACAUUAGAAAGCUCCUGGUAAUAAAUUUAACAAAAUAAGUAUAUGAUUUUUAUAUUGAAAACUAUACAUUGUUGAAAAAUUGAAGAAGAGCUUAAUUGAAAAAAUAUCCCAUGUUUGUGGAUCAGAAAACUUAAUAUUGUUAAGAUAGCAACAUUCCCCAAAUUGAUCUACAGAUUCAAGGCAUACUAUAUAAAAAAGUGAAUCAAAAUGUAUCAGAAAGUAAAGGUAGGCACUUAUAUAUUCUUUGAUGAAAACAUAACCAUAAAUCUGUAUGAUCUUGGAUUAGGCAAAUAUUUCCUAGAUAGGAGACAUACCAAAUUCACAACAAAAAGCAAAAAGUAUAUACACUGGACUUCAUCAAAAUGUAAAUCUUUUGUGCUUCAUGGACACCAUCAAGAAAAUGAAAGAUGACCCACAGAAUGGGAAAAAAAUUAAAAUAGUAUAUUUAAUGAAAUCCCUUAUUCUAGAAUAUAUAAGGAAAUCUUAAAACUCAAUUCUAAAAUGGCAACCCAACUAAAACCAGAAAAACAAAAGAAGAGUUAUCUAAACAGGCAUUUCUCCAGAGAAAAUAGUUACAUUGCAAAUAAGCACCUGAAGAGAUGCUUAUUAGAGAAUGUAAAAAAAUAGGAAAUUGCAAUCAAAACCACAAUGAGAUGCCCCUGCAAGUGCAAUAGAAGGACUAUAAUAAAAAAUCAGGACAAUAACAAUUAAUGGUGAAUAGAUUAAGGAAUUGAGACUUUCACACAUUGCUGGUAGGAAUGUAAGAUGGUGUGGCCACUCUGGAAAUAGUUUAAUUCUAAAUUCUUAAGCAAGAGUUUCCAUAUGACUCAGCAAUUCCAUUCCCACUUAUAUACUUAAAAGAAAUGAAAACAUAUGCUUGCAAAAAAACCCUCUUAUAUAUGAAUGUUCAUAGUGACACCAUCUGUAACAGCUUAAAACUAGAAAUGAUCCAGUGUCUGCCAGCUGAUGAAUGGAUAAAUAAUAUCUGAUUUAUCCAUACAAUGGAAUAUUAUUCAUCAAUACAAAUAAAACAGUAAUGUAUAUUACAACAUGGAUGAACCUUGAAUAUAUUAUGCUAAAUAGAACCAGUUUACAAAAUAGCUUAUGUUGUAUAAUUAUGUUCACAUGAAAUGUCCAGAAUAGUCAAAUUUAUAGAAAUAGAAAGUAGAUUGGUAGUCACCUAGGACUGAGUUUUUUGGGGGUAGACAAGAAUAAGUGACUGCUAUGAGAAAAAGUGGUUAAAAUAUUCUAAAACCAUGUGGGCACCUGCCACUCACAUGUGAGACCCAGAUGGAGAUCCAGGCUCCUGGCUUCGGCUUUGCCCAAUCCUAUCCAUUGCAACCAUUUGGAAGUGAGUCAGUGGAUGGAAGAUCUCUCUCUCUCUCUCUCUCUCUCCCUCUCUCUCUCUCUCUCUCUCUCUCUCUCUGCGUGUGUGUGUGUGUGUCCCUGUCUCUCUGUAACUCUACCUUUCAAAUAAAUAAAUCUUUACAAAAAUAAGAAGGAAGAAAAAACCACCUGAAAUUGUUACAGGAAACAAUGCUGAGAGAUCAUAGAAGGCAGAGAACACUGCCCAUGGAAUACUCUAAUAGCACAAGUGGAAUACCUCAUAUAUCAAAGGGCAAGGAUUAGAGUAAUAAAAAAGUUCUAAUUUCAGUAGUGGGUAAAAUAGCUAUGACUAUAUUCUAGCUCUGUUCAUUCCUAGCAAAGUUUAAAACAAGGUACAAAAAUAUUAAUUCCAAAGUAUGCUAACUGCAUUGCAGAAUAAAUGUCAAGAACAUUUAUAAGAAGAAAAAAAUCCAGAACACAAGUGAAAAUUUACACUGGCAUCCAAUUAUAAAAUAAUAGGUAUGAAAAGACAUGGGAAAAUAAUUAUGAGAAAAAUGAAUCAAGUAAAACUAACUCCAAAAUGACAAUUACUGCAACAUUAGUAAACAGGGAUAUAGAAACCAUUACUGUAACUAUUUCAUCAGCUCAGGGCAUUAGAGAAAAUGCUGCACAUGUUAAGCAAAUCAUACAAGAUUAAAAAAAAAAAGACAAGUGAUGAGAAUUCUUCAGAUAGAAUUAAUGUCAGAUUAGACUUUGCAAAAACAAACAAAAAAAAGAACCAACUAGUGAAUUUUUUGAAACCACAAUAGAAAAUGUCCAAAUGAGGUUCCAAGAUGGCAGAAUAGGGAGAGAGCAUACUGAUCUAGUCUAGGAGAAGAUAGUUUUUAAAAAGUGGAGAGAGUGCAGCCUCAGGGAAGAGUUAGGGAGAAAACGGCAGAGGAAACUAACAAAUUAGAGGGACACGGUGGACCUAUGUGAAGGGUGUAGACACCCACAACUCAGGACUCUGGCAGCCAAGAGCCUAUGCACUAGCAUUGGAAAGUGAGGUGAGACCAGACCGCAGCAGCCCAGGCCACUGGCAAUAAAGCUGCAGGAAGAGCCUAGAGGAAACCCAGCUUGCAGCCCAAUGGAGAAUAGUAUACCUGCCAAACUAGAGGAGAAAAAAAAGGGACAUGUUUAUCUCUCCCCAAUCACUUUACAACAAGCGUCCUGUAACAAGCCAAUAAAGCGGGCACCAUUUUGGACAUAUGUAACAGCUGGGUGCUCAUGACAGUGGGAGGCUUGUGUGCAGGGGCUGUGAAAAAAAAAAACUGAGGCUGUGUGGGAGGACUCACAGAGUGGCUGGGACUUUGGGCAGUCACUGUGGGAGACUGUCCAUACUCAGGGCUUCCUGGUUACUUGGUGAGAGACUUUGCUGGGGAAUCUGAGCUUACACUGAGGACUGCACAGAUCCUUUGUGUGGUCCUUGGGGCAGAGCAGACGAAUAUUAUACCCCCUGGAGCUAGUGCUCAGGCACUGAUCUCCUUUGAAGAGAGGAGCUCAGCUGAGCAGAAUAAACUUCCGUUCUGAUUAAAAAAAAGAGAGAGAGAGAGAUUUACCACAAAACCUGGAGUGUAUCACCUUAGACAUGCCCAUCACCGUGGAGAACUGAACAGAGCUCCCUGGCCACAAACCACUAUAAGCCUCUAGUUAUUCACUGAAACCAGACAUUCCACUUAUCUACAGAGGAAUAGUACAAAGAUUAAAAACCUCCACAGCAAAAAAUAAAUAAAUAAAAUAAAAAUAAAAACAAAGAAGAAACCGAGUAUUUCCACAAAUGCAAAAAAAAAAAAUGCAGCAAUUCAAGAAACAAGAAUAAGGAAGACAACAUGACACCCCUGAAGGAACACAACACUUCAAUACUAGAAUGUGAAGAUGAUGAGAUUGAAGAAAUGCAAGAAAUGGAAUUCAAAAAAUUGAUCACAAGAUUACACAGAAGUAAUCAAAAGCAAAUGCAUGAACUACUAAAAUGUGUACAGAACAUGAAAGAAAAUUUCUCCCUUAAAAUUGAGAUCUUAAAGAGAAAACAAAAUGAAAUGAAGAAUUCAAUAGAACAAAUAAAAAAUACAGUGGGGAGCCUUAACAACAUAAUCGGUGAAGCAGAAGAAAAGAAUAUUGGACUUAGAAGACAAAGCACAGGAAAUUAUAUGGUCAAACCAAAAACAAGAAGAGGAAACUAGAAAACUAAAAAACACUGUGAGGAUUUUCAGGAUAUUAUCAAACAAACCAAAAUAUGGGUUCUAGGAGUUCCUGAAGGUGUGGAAAGCGGGAAAGGAUUAGAAGGCCUUUUUAGUGAAAUAAUAAUAAAAUUGAAUUAAAAAAUACAAAAAAUCAGCAAAAAAUCAGUUUAUUUUUUGAAAAAAUAAAAUUGACACACUAUUGGCCCAACUAACCAAAAAAAGGAGAGAGAAGACCCAAAUCAAUAAAUUUAGAGAUGAAAAAGCAAAUGUAACAACAGACACCACAGAAGUAAAAAGAAUCAUCAGAAACCACUACAAAGAGCUAUUUGCCAAGAUACUGGGAAACCUAGAAGAAAUGGAUAGAUUCCUGGAUACAUACAGCCUACCUAAAUUGAGCCAAGAAGACAUAGAAAACCUAAACAGACCUAUAACCAAGAGAGAAAUUGAAUCAGUAAUAAAGGCCCUCCUCAAAGGAAAGGCCCAGGACUGGAUGGCUUCACUGCUGAAUUCUACCAGAUAUUUAAAUAACUCCAACUUUUCUCAAGUUAUUCAAAAACAACUGAAAGGAAAGGAAUCUUCCCAAAUUGUUUAUAAAAAAAGAUUUAAUUAUUUAUUUAUUUAUUGGAAAGGCAGAGUUACAGACAGGCAGAGAGAGAAAGAGAGAGGUCUUCGAUCUGCUGAUUCACUUCCCAAGUGGCUCCAAUGGCUGAGAUGGGCCAAUCUGAAGCCAGGAGCCAGAACCUUCCUCUGGGUCUCCUAUAUGGGUGCAGGGGCCCAAGGACUUGGGCCAUCCUCCACUGUUUUCCCAGGCCAUAGCAGAGAGCUGGAUGGGAAGUGGAGCAGCCGGGACCCAAACUGGCACCCCUUUGGAAUGCCGGCACUGUAGGUAAUGGCUUUACCCGCUAUGCCACACUGAUAUGCCAUAGCGCUGGCCCCCCCAAAUUCUUUCUAUGAAGCCAGUAUCACCUUAAUUCCUAAACUGGAAAAAGAUUCAACAGAGAAAGAGAAUUACAGAUUAAUUUCUCUAAUGAACAUAGAUGCAGAAAUCCUCAACAAAAUCUAGCCAAUUGAAUCCAACAACACAUCAGAAAGAUCAUCCACCCAGACCAAGUGUGAUUUAUCCCUGGUAUGCAGGGAUGGUUCAACAUUCACAAAUUAAUGUGAUACAUCACAUUAAUGAAUUGCAGAACAAAAACCAUAUGAUUAUCUCAAUAGAUGCAGAGAAAGCAUUUGAUAAAAUACAACAUCCUUUCACGAUGAAAACCCUAAACAGAUUGGGUAUAGAAGGAACAUUCCUCAACACAAUCAAGGCAAUUUAUGACAAACCCAUGGCCAGUGUCCUAUUGAAUGGUGGAAAAUUGGAAACAUUCCCACUGAGAUCUAGUACCAGACAAGGAUGCCCACUCUUACCAUUGCUCUUCAAUAUAGUCCUAGAAGUUUUAGCCAGAACCAUUAGGCAAGAAAAAGAAAUCAAAGGGACACAAAUUGGGAAAGAAGAAGUCAAACUAUCCUUAUUUGCAGAUGACAUGAUUCUGUAUGUAGGGGAUCCAAAAGACUCCACUAAGAGACUAUUGGAACUCAUAAAAGAGUUUAGUAAAGUAGCAGGACAUAAAGUCGACACACAAAAAUCAACAGCCUUUAUAUACACAGACAAUGCCAAGGCUGAGAUCGAGCUUAGAAGCUUAGAUGAAUCCAGUUCACAAUAGCUACAAAAAAAAAUUAAAUACCUCAGAAUAAAUUUAACCAAGGAUGCCAAAGAUAUCUUUGAAGAGAAUUACAAAACAUUAAAGAAAGAAAUAGAAGAUACAAAAAAAAUGGAAAAAUCUUCCAUGCUCAUGGAUUGGAAGAAUCAAUAUCAUCAAAAUAUCCAUUAUUCCAAAAGCAAUUUACAGAUUCAAUGUGAUACCAAUCAAAAUACCAAAGACGUUCUUCUCAGAUAUAGAAAAAAUGAUGCUGAAAUUCAUAUGGAGGCACAGGAGACCUCAAGUAACUAAAGCAAACUUAUACAACAAAAAGCUGGAGGCAUCACAAUACCAAAUUUCAAGACAUACUACAGGGCAGUUAUAAUCAAAACAGUCUGGUACUGGUACAAAAACAGAUGGAUAGACCCCUGGAACAAAAUAGAAAUGCCAGAAAUCAAUCCAGCAUCUAAAACCAACUUAUAUUUGUCCGAGGAGCUAAAACCAAUCCCUGGAGUAAGGACAGUCUCUUCAACAAAUGGUGCUGGGAAAACUGGGUUUCCACAUGCAGAAGAAUGAAGCAGGAACCCUACCUUACACCUUACACAAAAAUCCACUCAGCAUGGAUUAAAGAUCUAAAUCUAUGACCUGACACCAUCAAAUUAGAGAACUUUGGGGAAACCCUGAAAGAUAUAGGCACAAGCAAAGACUUCUUGGAAAAGACCCCAGAGGCACAGGCAGUCAAAGCCAAAACUAACAACUGGGAUUACAUCAAAUUGAGACGUUUCUGUACAGCAAAAUAAACAUUCAAGAAAGUGAAGAGGCAACCGACAGAAUGGGAGAAUGUAUUUGCAGACUAUGCAACUGAUAAAGGAUUAAUAACAGAAUAAAGAGAUCAAGAAAAUCUACAACAACAAAACAAACAACCCAGUUAAGAGAUGGGCCAAGGACUUAAACAGACAUUUUUCAAAAGUGGAAAUCCAAGUGGCCAACAGACACAUGACAAAAUGAUCAGGAUCACUAGCUAUCAGGGAAAUGUGAAUCAAAACCACAGCGAGGUUUACCUCACCCCUGUUAGAGUGGCUUUCAUACACAAAUCAACAAACAACAAAUGCUGGGGAGGAAGUAGGGGGAAAUGUACCCUAACCUUGUGUUGGUGGGAAUGAAAACAGGUAAAGCCACUAUGGAAGACAGUAUGGAAAUACCUCAAAAAAUCUGAAUAUAGACCUACCAUAUGACCCAGCCAUCUCACUCUUGGGAAUUUAUCCAAGGGAAAUGAAAUCAGUAAAUAGAAGAGUUAUCUGCACCUCCAUGUUUAUUGCAGCUCAAUUCACAAUAGCUAAGACAUGGAGUCAACCUAAAUUCCCAUCAAUUGAAUACUGGAUAAAGAAAUUAUGGAAUAUGUACACCAUGGAAUACUACACAGUGGUAAAAAAUGAAAUCCUGUCAUUUGCAACACAAUGGAUGAAUCUGGAAAAUAUCAUACUUAGUUAAAUAAGCCAGUCCCAAGGGGCAAAUACCAUAUGUUCUCUCUGAUCUGUGAGAACUAAUAGAACACCUAAAAGGAAAUCUGUAUAAGUGAAAUUGACACUUCAAGAAGGAAUGACUUGAGCUGCCCUUGUCUUGAUUGUUGAUAGCUUCACUUUCGAUUGUUUGGUUUUUUUUUUUUUCAUACUAUUUGUUGAACUCUUUACUUAACAUACAGUUAAUUAUAUAUGUAUGAAGUCAAUUGAGGAUGGAUCUCAGUAAAAAUUAAGAGUAGGAAUAAGAAAGGAGGAGGAAGUUUGUAACUGUAAAGCUGUAUAGUUCUGCAUACAUUUCUACGGACUUACUUCUAAGGAUACAGUUUAAAAACUUGUCAUAGGACUCCAAUCCAAUUAAGAUUGGUAGUAAAAAUGCCAUCUUAAUUGUUAAAGUGAUCAUAUUAAGUGUUAAAGGAACAUAUAGAUAGGAUUAAGUGUUAAAGUAAUCAUAUACAUAAGAUCAAGUAUCUGACAAUAACAAUAGACAGAAUUAAAAAGGAGGGAAUGUUCCAACAUGGGAAGCAGUCACACAGCAGACUCAGAAUGACGAUCGCUUUAAGUAACACUCUGACCUCAGAAUCAGCCCUUAAGGCUUCAUGGUCUGGCUGAAAAGCCUAUGAGAGCAUUUCAGGCAUGGCAAGCCAAGUCACUAUGGCAAAAAAAGUUCUACAUGAAAGAUCUCUGUGAGACCCCAGCAGAAAGAAGUGGCCAUCAAAGAAGGAUGUACUUUUUUCUAAAGGGAGAAGAGAGCUUCCACUUUGCUUAUGGCCUUAUCUAAAUACUGACAGAGUUUGUAGACUCAAAAGGCUUCCAUAGCCUUGACAUGAGCUGUCAAGGUGAUCACCGGCUGCUGGUGAUCACUGAUGUCAUACAUAAGAGUGUUAAUUGUUAAACUAACAACAAGAAUCACUGUGCACUAACUCCCCAUGCAGGACUUCUGUCCUCAAUGAGUUGUAUUAUGAGAGUUAACUGUAAAACUAGUUUUCAGGAGCUGGAGCUGUGGCAUAGCCAGUAAAGCCGCCACCUGAAGUGCCAGAAUCCCAAAUGGGGGCUGGUUUGAAACCCAGCUGCUCCACUUCUGAUCCAGCUCUCUGCUGUGGCCUGGGAAAGCAGUAGAAGAUGGCCCAGGUACUUGGGCCCCUGCACCCACGUGGGAGACCCAGAGGAAGCUCCUGGCUUCUGACUUCGGAUCAGCACAGCUCCAGCCAUUGUGGCCAUUUGGGGAGUGAACCAGCGGAUGGAAGACUUUCUCUCUCUCUCUCUCUCUCUCUCUAUCUAUCUAUCUCUCUCUCUCUCUCUAUCUCAACUCUGACUUUCAAAUAAACAAAUAAAUCUUUUUUAAAACAAAACUAGUUAUUGGCCGGCACUGCGGCUCAAUAGGCUAAUCCUCCACCUGUGGCGCCGGCACACCAGGUUCUAGUCCCGGUCGGGGCACUGGAUUCUGUCCCUGUUGCCCCUCUUCCAGUCCAGCUCUCUGCUAUGGCACGGGAGUGCAGUGGAGGAUGGCCCAAGUACUUGGGUCCUGCACCCGCAUGGGAGACCAGGAGAAGCACCUGGCUCCUGGCUCCUGGCUUUGGAUCAGCGUAGUGCGCCGGCCGAAGCGGCCAUUGGAAGGUGAACCAACGGUAAAGGAAGACCUUUCUCUCUGUCUCUCUCACUGUCCACUCUGCCUGUCAAAAAAUAAAUAAAUAAAAUAAAAAUAAUAAAAACAAAACUAGUUCUCAAACUGUGUGUGUGUGUAUAUGUGUAAGCAAAUUGUUGAAAUCUUAGUAUAGAGUCGGUCUCCUGUGUACAGUUAAUUUGAAAAAAGAAUCUUAAUGGAGAAUGGGACUGGGAAGGGGACAAGGAGGAGGGGUGGGAGUGUGGGUUGGAGGUUGGGUAUGGUGGGAAGAAUAACUAUCCCUAAAGUUGUACUUAUGAAAUUUGUAUUCCUUAAAAAAUAAAUUUAAAAAUGGUAUAAGAAAAAAAAGAAUAAACCAUUUUGGCAAGCUCAAAAAAAAUGUCCAAAUGAAACACAAAGUCCAAUUUUUAAGAAGACUGAUUGUGAAAAGGUCAGAUCAACAGUGAGCCUUCUGACAACUUCAAAUGGCCAAAUAUACAUGAAAUCACCGUCCCCAGAGGAGAGGGAAAAGAGUGAUAAAAAAUAUUUGAAGUAUUAAUGGCUAAAAUUUUUCCAAAUUUGAUAUAAGCCAUAAACGUGCUGAUGAAGGAAGUUCAGUGAAUCCCAAGGGUAACAAAAAUGAAGGAAAAAAAAAAACCACCAUAGUAAUUCAUUUGAAAUUGUUUAAAGAGACAAAUGGGAUAUUAUAUCAAAAUAAGAAGUUUCUGCAUAGUAAAGAAAUUACUUAAAACUAGUCCUAAAUAGAAAAUCACUUAAAAAUUAGCUAGAGGAUAAAAGGCAGAAUAGUAAAGCUAUGAUUAACAUCAGAUUUCUCAUCAGAAAAAAUUCAAGCAGUAACUGAUAGAUACAGAAUAGAAUUGUGAUUGCUAGGACUUGGCGAAGUGUGGAAUGGGGAAAUGCUGUUCAAAGGGUAAAAAAUUUCAGUUAUCAGAUGAAUAUGUUCUGGGAAUCUAAUUUACAGCAUGGGUGAUUAUAGAAGUGCUAAUUAAUUUGUAGUAAUCAUUAUAUAAUGUAUGCAUUUAUAAAAUCAUCAGGUUGUACAACUUGAACAUGUACGCUCUUUGUCAAUUAAAUAUUUUUAAAUAAGGAAAAGUACAAGACAAGAUAAUGGGGUAAUGUCUUUAAAGUACUGGAAGAAAAUAGAAUGGUAAACUUAGAUUUGUCAGUAAAAAUCUCUUCCAAAGUCAAAUAUUUUCCCAGAAAUAAAAUAAUCUGAAAUCAUUAAUCAUGAGUGGACCUCUUUUGCAACAGGCACUAAGUGAUAAGUGAAUUCCUUCAAACAUAGGGAAAACUACAUGAGAUGGAAAAUCUGGAUCUAAAUGAAGAGUGAAAAAUGAAGAAAUGGAAAAUGCUUUGUGAAUGUAAAUAUUUUUUCUUAUUGUGCAAAUAUUACUAAAACAUAAUCCACUAUUUAAAUAAAGUACAAGGGGGUCUGUAACACAUGCAGAAUUAUAAUAUAACAAUAUUGUGAGAGGUCUUCAAAAACUUCAUGAAAAUAUGUGUUAUGAAAAAGCUGUGUGUGGGGGCUGGUGCUGUGGCGCAGUGGGUACAGCCACUGCCAGCAGUGCUGGCGUCCCAUAUGGGUGCUGAUUCGAGUCCAGCUGCUCCAAUUCUGAUCCAGCUCUCUGCUAUGGCCUGGGAAAGCAGUAGAAAAUGGCCCAAAUCCUUGGGCUCCUGCAUUCAUGUGGGAGACCCAGAAGAAGCUCCUGGCUCCUGGCUUUGGAUCAACAGCUCCAGCCGUUGUGGCCAACUGGGAAGUGAACCAGCGGAUGAAAGACCUCUCUCUCUUUUUCUUUCUCUUUCUCUCUCUCUGUAACUCUGCCUUCAAAUAAAUAAAUAAAUCUUAAAAUAAAUCAAUAAAUAAAAUAUUUGCUUUAUAAUAAAAAGCUAUGUGUGAAUUACAAACAUUUUUUGCACAAAAAUAAACUUAUCUUUUAAUUCAAUUUUCCAUGAACUUCUUGAAGAAGUUAUAGUCCAUAUUCUUAGAGGAAAGAAAUAUAAACAUGAUGUUGUAAGUUUCUUAUGCAAUAUGAAAUAACAUACCAUCACUUGAAGUUAGACUAUAACAAAUCAAAAAAUAUAUUCUAUAAAACUGAAAGAAACUCCUACUUAAUACAAUAGUUACAGCUAAAAGCUAACAGUGCCCACAAAUACAAUCAUACAAAAUACUCAAUUAUUCUGAAAGAAGGUAAAAAGAGAAAAAAAAGAAUAAUGUGCAGGUGGAACACUUUAAAAAAUACCAAUAUGAUAACUGAAAAGUCAGGCACAAAAAUGUUCACACCAAUUGUAUAUGAUAUAAAUACCCAAAAUAAAAAAGCAAAGAUUGUCAGAUUGGAUGAAAAAGCAAUACAAAACCAUAUGCUGCCUAGUAGUAAUUAAAAAUAAAUGCAAAGAGGUUAAAAUAUGAAGCAAUUGAAAGUAAAACAAUGAAAAAAGACAUAACAUGGAAACACUAAAACAGGAAAAAUAGCUGUAUUUCAGACCAAAGAAUAUUACCAAGAAUAAAGACUAGUUCUUAAUGAUAAAAGUUCAAUUCUUUAAGAGGGCAAUAAAUUAUAAACCUUUAUGUGUCUGGUAAUAGAACCACAAAAUAGGUGAAACAAAAAUGGAUAAAAUUGAGAAGCUAAAUAGACAAGAUCAGACUCAUAGUUGGAUGUUUCUAUACCCUUCUCUCAAUACCUCAGGAAAAAAAUAACCAAAAAAUCGGACACAUGGAAGACUUGGAAAGCUCUAUGAAUUAACUUAGCCAUGCCCCUCCCCCUCAGGAAAAAAAAUUUCUGUUAAGUACAUACAUGAAGAAAUACUAUAUUUGGGCCCAUGAAACAAUUCUUAAUAUAUUUUUUAAAAAUCAAGUCACACAUGGGGCAGGUGCUGUGGCCCAGUGGGUUGGCGCCUUAGCCUGAAGUGCCAGUAUCCCAUAUGGGCGCCAGUUUGAGACCCGGCUGCUACACUUCUGAUCCAGCUGUCUGCUGUGGCCUGGGAAAGCAGUGGAGGAUGGCCCAAGUCCUUGGGUCCCUGCACCCGCGUGGGAGACCUGGAGGAGGCUUCUGGCUCCUGGCUUCAGAUCGGCACUGCUCCAGCCGUUGCAGCCAAUUGGAGAGUGAACCAUCCGGUGGAAGACACUCUCUCUCUCUCUCUCUCUCUCUCUCUCUCCCUCUCUCUCCCUC